rnacentral:rRNA from 1 species
GGCCUCAUGUUUAAUUGUGAGGUCUGACCUGCCCAGUGAAUGUAGUUUUAACGGCCGCGGUAUAUUGACCGUGCAAAGGUAGCAUAAUCAUUAGUCUUUUAAUAGAGGGCUGGAAUGAAGGGUUUAACGAAUCAUUAGCUGUCUCAUUUUUAUAAUUUAGAAUUUAAUUUUUAAGUUAAAAAGCUUAAAUUUUGUUGGUGGACGAGAAGACCCUAUAGAGCUUUAUAUUUUAUUAUAUUAUAACAUUUUGUUAAAUAUUUAUUUUUAAUUUAAUAAUUUAUUUUGUUGGGGUGAUAAAAACACAUAAUAAACUUUUUUAUUGUGAUUACAUUUAUUUAUGAAUUUUUGAUCCAGUAUUAUUGAUUAUUAGAUUAAGUUACCUUAGGGAUAACAGCGUAAUUUUCCUUUGGAGUUCUUAUUUACAGGAAAGCUUGCGACCUCGAUGUUGGAUUAAGAUUAUUUUGUGGUGUAGCAGCUAUAAAAAUAGGUCUGUUCGACCUUUAAAAUCUUACAUGAUCUGAGUUCAGACCGG